rnacentral:rRNA from 1 species
AUACGUAGGGGGCUAGCGUUAUCCGGAAUUACUGGGCGUAAAGGGUGCGUAGGUGGUUUCUUAAGUCAGAAGUGAAAGGCUACGGCUCAACCGCAGUAAGCUUUUGAAACUAAGAGACUUGAGUGCAGGAGAGGAGAGUAGAAUUCCUAGUGUAGCGGUGAAAUGCGUAGAUAUUAGGAGGAAUACCAGUUGCGAAGGCGGCUCUCUGGACUGUAACUGACACUGAGGCACGAAAGCGUGGGGAGCAAACAGGAUUAGAUACCCUGGUAGUCCACGCCGUAAACGAUGAGUACUAGCUGUCGGGGGUUACCCCCCUCGGUGGCGCAGCUAACGCAUUAAGUACUCCGCCUGGGAAGCACGCUCGCAAGAUUGAAACUCAAAUGAAUUGACGGGG